AUUGAACGCUGGCGGCAGGCCUAACACAUGCAAGUCGAACGAGUGGCGGACGGGUGAGUGAUGUCUGGGAAACUGCCUGAUGGAGGGGGCUAACUACUGGAAACGGUAGCUAAUACCGCAUACCAUCAGAUGUGCCCAGAUGGGAUUAGCUAGUUGGUGGGGUAACGGCUCACCAAGGCGACGAUCCCUAGCUGGUCUGAGAGGAUGACCAGCCACACUGGAACUGAGACACGGUCCAGACUCCUACGGGAGGCAGCAGUGGGGAAUAUUGCACAAUGGGCGAAAGCCUGAUGCAGCCACGCCGCGUGUAUGAAGAAGGUCUUCGGGUCGUAAAGUACUUUUAUCAGGGAGGCGUUACCUGAAGAAGAAGCACCGGCUAACUCCGUGCCAGCAGCCGCGGUAAUAC
rnacentral:rRNA from 1 species